rnacentral:rRNA from 1 species
UUAACGCGUUAAGUCGACCGCCUGGGGAGUACGGCCGCAAGGUUAAAACUCAAAUGAAUUGACGGGGGCCCGCACAAGCGGUGGAGCAUGUGGUUUAAUUCGAUGCAACGCGAAGAACCUUACCUGGUCUUGACAUCCACGGAAGUUUUCAGAGAUGAGAAUGUGCCUUCGGGAACCGUGAGACAGGUGCUGCAUGGCUGUCGUCAGCUCGUGUUGUGAAAUGUUGGGUUAAGUCCCGCAACGAGCGCAACCCUUAUCCUUUGUUGCCAGCGGUCCGGCCGGGAACUCAAAGGAGACUGCCAGUGAUAAACUGGAGGAAGGUGGGGAUGACGUCAAGUCAUCAUGGCCCUUACGACCAGGGCUACACACGUGCUACAAUGGCGCAUACAAAGAGAAGCGACCUCGCGAGAGCAAGCGGACCUCAUAAAGUGCGUCGUAGUCCGGAUUGGAGUCUGCAACUCGACUCCAUGAAGUCGGAAUCGCUAGUAAUCGUGGAUCAGAAUGCCACGGUGAAUACGUUCCCGGGCCUUGUACACACCGCCCGUCACACCAUGGGAGUGGGUUGCAAAAGAAGUAGGUAGCUUAACCUUCGGGA